UACGAAGGGGGCUAGCGUUGCUCGGAAUCACUGGGCGUAAAGGGUGCGUAGGCGGUUCUUUAAGUCAGGGGUGAAAUCCUGGAGCUCAACUCCAGAACUGCCUUUGAUACUGGCGAGCUUGAGUUCGGGAGAGGUGAGUGGAACUGCGAGUGUAGAGGUGAAAUUCGUAGAUAUUCGCAAGAACACCAGUGGCGAAGGCGGCUCACUGGCCCGAUACUGACGCUGAGGUGCGAAAGCGUGGGGAGUAAACAGG
rnacentral:rRNA from 1 species